UAGUGGCGGACGGGUGAGUAACGCGUGAGUAACCUGCCUUUCAGAGGGGAAUAACGUUCUGAAAAGAACGCUAAUACCGCAUAACGUACAGUUACCGCAUGGUAGCAGUACCAAAGGAGCAAUCCGCUGAAAGAUGGACUCGCGUCCGAUUAGCUAGUUGGUGGGGUAAAGGCCUACCAAGGCGACGAUCGGUAGCCGGACUGAGAGGUUGAACGGCCACAUUGGGACUGAGACACGGCCCAG
rnacentral:rRNA from 1 species